AACGCACCUUGCGCUCCUUGGUAUUCCGAGGAGCAUGCCUGUUUGAGUGUCUUGAAAUCAUCAACCCCGUCCGGCUUUGCGCGGGACUCGGGCUGGAUUUGGGGGCCUGUUUGCUGCCGAAAGGUGGCUCCCCUGGAAUGCUUCGGUUGGGCCUGUGGGUCGAACUCGACUGGGCGUUGUAUCAUCCUCGCUCGACAGAGACCGUUCCCCUCUGGUGCCUCAGCCUCGACCGCCUCGUGUGGCGGUCAAGCUUGAAAACCUGAAAUCUGACCUCAAAUCAGGUAGGACUACCCGCUGAACUUAA
rnacentral:misc_RNA from 1 species